CUAGAACUCAGAAAGGCAGAGGGCGGUAAACAUUCCAGGUGAAGGAACCAACAUGUAAGGCGGAGAGUACAGCACAACAAGAUAACUAAUGUGGUUAAAACAGAGUGCAUAUUAUGAAGUCUUGACUAUCUGAAGUCACUGUACCUCCUCAUUUGAUAACUGAGCUGAAGAGUCUUCAUGAGUUAAAGCACACACUACUGGUAUUUUUACUUCCUCCUCAACAUCUGUUUUUUUGUGAUCCUUUCUCUUACUAAGCCUUUGCUGUUCAUCUUCUUCCUAAAAGUUAGGAAUAAAAAAUAUAUAUUACUCA